rnacentral:lncRNA from 1 species
CUUCCUCCUCUUUCUCCCUCCUCCUUUCUUGUCCUCUCCUUUUUUCAUCCAUUCCUCUAUCUCCUUCCCUUCCUCUCUAUCCAUUUCUCAUCCUCAUCUUCCUCCACCAAGCCACCCAUAAACCAUUCCCCUCCACAAUGGCCUCUACUUCCAUCCCUUCUUCUCUUACCCAUCUUUUUCCUCCCCAUUCUCUUCUCCUCUUUUACCUUUUCCUCCAUCGUAUUCCUUACUGGAGGUCUCUCUCCCCUCCUAUUUUUUUUAUCCUCUUUCUCCUCGAAAUCAACCUAUGAGCUCUAUCCUUUUAGAUGGCAUUCUCUACAUCCGUCUCUUCUUACCGACAAAAGAUCCUUUCUUCUUUCCUUCCUUCUCACUCAUCUCUUCUCCUCCAUGAUGGCUCCUUACACCUCCUUCCCUUUCUCCUUAUCCAUUUCAUCUCUUCAUCCUUCUCUUUCUCCAAACUGUCCAUAAGUCAUCCCCUUCACGGCAACCUCUUCUACCUCACCCCUUCCCGCCUCUUCUCCUCUUCUUCCUCUCCAUCCUCUUAUUCUUCUUGUUCUUCUUCUCCUCCUUUAACCCAUUCUUUACCGACGUCCCUUCUCCC